UACGUAGGGGGCAAGCGUUGUCCGGAAUCAUUGGGCGUAAAGCGCGUGUAGGCGGCCUUGGUAAGUCUGCUCUGAAAGCCCGGGGCUCAACCCCGGGGAGGCGGGUGGAUACUGUCAAGCUCGAGUCCGGAAGAGGAGUGUGGGAAUUCCUGGUGUAGCGGUGAAAUGCGCAGAUAUCAGGAGGAACACCGGUGGCGAAGGCGGGUCUCUGGGCAGUAACUGACGUGAGGAGCGAAAGCGUGGGGAGCAAACAGG
rnacentral:rRNA from 1 species